rnacentral:lncRNA from 1 species
UUCAAUCAAAAGUAUUCUUACAAUUCUGGAACAAACUAACCAGCAAACUCAAAAAAAAACACUAGUAAGCAUCCAUAGACUAAUCUCGUACAAAUGUGGGUAAGAAGUAAAUUUUAAAACCCAAAAAUAUCAUGAGAUCGUGAGAGUGAGAGUGAAAGAGAUAGAGUUAGACUCUCAAAGCAAGAACAACAUAGAUGCUUUUAAACCUCUCUCGUUGUGAUGAAAGACCACCUCUCUCCAAACAGACAACCCUUCCAUCACAAAAAACCAUGGCUUCACAUUCCGAAAAGCUAAGACCUAUUGAUCUUCAUAAAACUUCUGAAUACGGAGAACUCUGGCAACCUAUGACACAACAAAUAAACGCAUAGAUUACCAUCAUGAAACAAGUGGCAAGGCCUAACCACUCAACUACAAGACCUGAACAUUGAUGAGUGGCAACAAAGAACUUAAGCUGGCACACAAGAAAAGGUCAUUAUGUUUAUGUUGCAAAAUAACUAAGUCGGCAAGGUCAGUGUAAUAGUUCCACAACCCCACCAAAACCAUCACACAAAGAAAUCCAAAGGCAGACCCAUGGAGCGCCAUUGUCACUAUCUGAACACUGAAGGCCAAACUUCAAAGGUCAGAGACCAACUUGUAAAGAGAAAGAUAUUAUCAUUGCUUUGUAGGAGCUCUUAAUAAUACAGCGUAGAAGAGAGCCAUGGUUGGCGGAGACCACCACCAACAACCAGAAAAAUAGUCCAACUCAAAAUUCAGAAUCAAACGGGAGAAUGACGGAUCACCAAGAGAAUACACAACCUGAAUACUGUAGAGAAACAAAAAACUAGAUUGGAAACAACCAGAGACCUCUCAAUGGACUCCAAGUACCAGCGAGAACCACCAUUCAUAAUGCUGGAGCCAACUAGAGACUAAACAGGGAAAGGAUCCAAGACACCUUAACUGCUCUAACCUCCUAGAAGAACACUAGAAACUGCAUCACCGAAACCAUCAACGCCACAAAUAGAGGACGCCGCAAGGAAAGAAGAGGAAAAGAAGACACCCCAUGAUACAGAAGAGAUAGAGGAAGAAGAGCCUCCUCGGCAGAUGCCAAACCACCGGGAGGCUGUGGCGGAUCUGAGAACGAAGUCUUGGAAAGGGUCUACUUGUUUUGUUUAUUACUUGCUUAUGUAUAUAGCAUACGUGAGACGUUAUGUGAG